UAUCCACGGCCAUAGGACUC
rnacentral:rRNA from 1 species